CCCUUAGAUGUUCUGGGCCGCACGCGUGCUACACUGAGUGGAUCAGCGGGUCAGGUUGCGCGAAAGCGUUUCCUAAUCUUUAAAUCCGCUCGUGAUGGGGAUUGACGGUUGCAAUUUUCCGUCAUGAACGAGGAAUACCUUGUAAGCGCGGGUCAUCAUCCCGCGCUGAAUACGUCCCUGCCCUUUGUACACACCGCCCGUCGCUCCUACCGAUUGAGUGGUCCGGUGAGGCUUUGGGAUCUGAGCAAAGAGAGCGUUUCGCUCGUUUUGCCCGGAAAACUCAGUCGAACCUUAUCAUUUAGAGGAAGGAGAAGUCGUAACA
rnacentral:rRNA from 1 species